UACGAAGGGGGCUAGCGUUGCUCGGAAUCACUGGGCGUAAAGCGCACGUAGGCGGCUUUCUAAGUCAGGGGUGAAAUCCUGGAGCUCAACUCCAGAACUGCCUUUGAUACUGGAGAGCUCGAGUCCGGAAGAGGUGAGUGGAACUGCGAGUGUAGAGGUGAAAUUCGUAGAUAUUCGCAAGAACACCAGUGGCGAAGGCGGCUCACUGGUCCGGUACUGACGCUGAGGUGCGAAAGCGUGGGGAGCAAACAGGAU
rnacentral:rRNA from 1 species